AGCACAUUCAAGCUCGGCUUGGUGAUGGGUGUCUGUCCCGCCUCUCGCGCGCGGACUCGCCUCAAAAACAGUUGGCAGCUUCCAUCUUUCGGUCUCAAACGCAGCAGACUUGCGUCGGAACCCGCGGAAAGAGGCUCUCCAAUAAGCAAAACGGCAC
rnacentral:misc_RNA from 2 species